AGAGUUUGAUUCUGGCUCAGAUUAACGCUGGCGGCAGGCCUAACACAUGCAAGUCGAGCGGCCGAGGCGGCGAGCGGCGGACGGGUGAGUAGUGCCUGGGAAAUUGCCCUGAUGUGGGGGAUAACCAUUGGAAACGAUGGCUAAUACCGCAUGAGCUUCGGCUCAAAGAGGGGCCUUCGGGCCUCUCGCGUCAGGAUAUGCCCAGGUGGGAUUAGCUAGUUGGUGAGGUAAGGGCUCACCAAGGCGACGAUCCCUAGCUGGUCUGAGAGGAUGAUCAGCCACACUGGAACUGAGACACGGUCCAGACUCCUACGGGAGGCAGCAGUGGGGAAUAUUGCACAAUGGGCGCAAGCCUGAUGCAGCCAUGCCGCGUGUAUGAGGUCGUUGAGUACUUUCAGCAGUGUUAAUAGAGCUGCAGAAGAAGCACCGGCAACUCCGUGCCAGCAGCCGCGGUAAUACGGAGGGUGCGAGCGUUAAUCGGAAUUACUGGGCGUAAAGCGCAUGCAGGUGGUUUGUUAAGUCAGAUGUGAAAGCCCGGGGCUCAACCUCGGAAUUGCAUUUGAAACUGGCAGGCUAGAGUACUGUAGAGGGGGGUAGAAUUUCAGGUGUAGCGGUGAAAUGCGUAGAGAUCUGAAGGAAUACCGGUGGCGAAGGCGGCCCCCUGGACAAUACUGACACUCAGAUGCGAAAGCGUGGGGAGCAAACAGGAUUAGAUACCCUGGUAGUCCACGCCGUAAACGAUGUCUACUUGGAGGUUGUGGCCUUGAGCCGUGGCUUUCGGAGCUAACGCGUUAAGUAGACCGCCUGGGGAGUACGGUCGCAAGAUUAAAACUCAAAUGAAUUGACGGGGGCCCGCACAAGCGGUGGAGCAUGUGGUUUAAUUCGAUGCAACGCGAAGAACCUUACCUACUCCAUCCAGAGAACUUAGCAGAGAUGCUUUGGUUCGCUCUGGAAGGUGCUGCAUGGCUGUCGUCAGCUCGUGUUGUGAAAUGUUGGGUUAAGUCCCGCAACGAGCGCAACCCUUAUCCUUGUUUGCCAGCGAGUAAUGUCGGGAACUCCAGGGAGACUGCCGGUGAUAAACCGGAGGAAGGUGGGGACGACGUCAAGUCAUCAUGGCCCUUACGAGUAGGGCUACACACGUGCUACAAUGGCGCAUACAGAGGGCGGCCAACUUGCGAAAGUGAGCGAUCCCAAAAAGUGCGUCGUAGUCCGGAUUGGAGUCUGCAACUCGACUCCAUGAAGUCGGAAUCGCUAGUAAUCGUGAAUCAGAAUGUCACGGUGAAUACGUUCCCGGGCCUUGCACUCACC
rnacentral:rRNA from 1 species